AACGUAGGAGGCAAGCGUUAUCCGGAGUUACUGGGCGUAAAGCGCGUGUAGGUGGAUAGGUAAGUUACUUAUAAAAGCUCCUGGCUAAACUAGGAGAGGUUGAGUGAUACUGCCAGUCUUGAAUAGAGGAGAGGUUGACGGAAUUCCGCGUGUAGUGGUGAAAUGCGUAGAGAUGCGGAAGAACACCAGUGGCGAAGGCGGUCAACUGGCCUCAUAUUGACACUCAGACGCGAAGGCAUGGGUAGCGAACGGG
rnacentral:rRNA from 1 species